AGAGGGACAGAAGGAAAGAGGGAAAGAGGGAAAGAGGGAAAGAGGGAAAGAGGGAAAGAGGGAAAGAGGGAAAGAGGGAAAGUUAUACAGACAGCAAGACCAUGAGAAGGAGAUAGAGACAGUAGGCUGACAAAGAGAUGAGUCCUUAUCACACAAUUAGAAUUAUUACUUGUUCAGGAUUGCAAUGUGGCUCAACACCAGUUUCACUUAAAAACAAUCUUGACUCCUGCCCAACCCCCUCCCCCCAUCGCCAAGAGUCUCUGGAAUGCUGUUGCGAUGGAAAAGGAGGGAGUUAGAGUGAAUGUUCCUGACUGAAUUGGUUUCUUUACUUUAUGCCCAGUUAUCCAGAAG